GACGGAGGGGGCAAGCGUUGUCCGGAAUUACUGGGCGUAAAGCGCACGUAGGCGGCUUUGUAAGUUAGAGGUGAAAGCCCGGGGCUCAACUCCGGAACUGCCUUUAAGACUGCAUCGCUUGAAUCCAGGAGAGGUGAGUGGAAUUCCGAGUGUAGAGGUGAAAUUCGUAGAUAUUCGGAAGAACACCAGUGGCGAAGGCGGCUCACUGGACUGGUAUUGACGCUGAGGUGCGAAAGCGUGGGGAGCAAACAGG
rnacentral:rRNA from 1 species